rnacentral:rRNA from 1 species
GAUGAACGCUGGCGGCGUGCCUAAUACAUGCAAGUCGAGCGAACAGACGAGGAACUUGCUCCUCUGACGUUAGCGGCGGACGGGUGAGUAACACGUGGAUAACCUACCUAUAAGACUGGGAUAACUUCGGGAAACCGGAGCUAAUACCGGAUAAUAUAUUGAACCGCAUGGUUCAAUAGUGAAAGACGGUUUUGCUGUCACUUAUAGAUGGAUCCGCGCCGCAUUAGCUAGUUGGUAAGGUAACGGCUUACCAAGGCAACGAUGCGUAGCCGACCUGAGAGGGUGAUCGGCCACACUGGAACUGAGACACGGUCCAGACUCCUACGGGAGGCAGCAGUAGGGAAUCUUCCGCAAUGGGCGAAAUCCUGACGGAGCAACGCCGCGUGAGUGAUGAAGGUCUUCGGAUCGUAAAACUCUGUUAUUAGGGAAGACCAAAUGUGUAAGUAACUAUGCACGUCUUGACGGUACCUAAUCAGAAAGCCACGGCUAACUACGUG